rnacentral:rRNA from 1 species
UGAAUUACAUUAAACCUGUCAGUGAAUGGCUCGGUUUGAGAGCCGAUGAAGGGCGUGCCAAGCUGCGAUAAGCUCCGGGAAGACGCAAGGGUUCUAUGAUCCGGAGAUCCCCGAAUGGGAAUCCUACGGCUUAUGCCGUGAUUGGAAACAAUCGGUAACCCCCCGAAUUGAAACAUCUUAGUAGGGGGAGGAAAAGAAAUCAAACGAGAUGUCGUGAGUAAAGGCGAUCGAAAUCGACACAGUUCAAACUGAAUCCCGCAAGGGAGAUGUGGUGUUAUAGGCUCACUGUAGAUUUUAACAAACGAAACGGAACUCUUCUGGAACGUCAGACCACAGAGGGUGACAGUCCCGUACGUGCAAGUUUAUUAAAACAAGUGAAUACCUGAGUAAUGCGGGUUGGAAAUCUCGCAUGAACUUGGGGGUCAUCAACCUCCAAAACUAAAUACUCCUCAAAACCGAUAGCGCAAUAGUAGUGUGAACGAAAGCUGAAAAGUAACCCUGGAAANNUCUUUACACCGAAAGAAAAUAUCGCGAGGUAUGUGUAUGGGGUGUAAUGCCGACGUCAUAACUUACGUUUUGAAGAACGGGCCGGAGAGUUAAUUCUGUUGGCGAGGUUAACGAACAAGGAAGCCGAAGCGAAAGCAACAGGUUCGUAGUCGCAAGACAUGGAACGACGUAUUAAAAGUGCGUGAAGUCAACAGGAUCAUACCCGAAGCCCGGUGAUCUAUGCGUGGGCUGGCUGAAGGGUGACGAAAGUUGCGUGGAGGGCCUAAGCGGUAUUGAUAUGCAAAUCAUUCGUGUGACCUGCGUAUAGGGGUGAAAGGCCAAUCGAACCGGGCAUCCGCUGGUUCCUCUCGAAACAUGCCGUAGCAUGACCUGAACCGAGGCCGAUGGUGAGGUAGAGCACUGAUUUAGGAAGUUGGGGAAGAAAUUCCUCACUCUUUUGUCAAACUCCGAAUUCCCCAUCGCCGUAGACGUUCGGCAGUCCGCACUACGGGGUAAGCUUGUAGUGCGUAAGGGAGACAACCCAGACCGUGGUUAAUGUCCCUCAGUGUAGGUUAAGUGUAAACACUAAAUGAGGUCCUAGGUCAAAGACAACUGGAAGGUGAGCUCAGAAGCAGCUAUCCUUAAAAAAGUGCGUAACAGCUUACCAGUCGAGAUUUAGGGCGCAGAAAAUGGACGGGGCUCAAACCUACCACAGAUACCACGGACCACAGCAAUGUGAUGGCGUAGAGAGGCGUCCUGUAUGGGUAGAAGCAGGGGUGUAAGUUCCUGUGGACCGUAUAGGAAUGAGAAUUCCGGCAGUAGUAGAAGCAAAGUCCGGUGAGAAUCCGGACCGCCGAAGGGGCUAGGUUUCCUCGACAAUGUUCGUCAGUCGAGGGUNNNNNNNNNNNNNNNNNNNNNNNNNNNNNNNAGAUGUGUAUAAGAGACAGGGUUAAUAUUCCUGUACUGUCUGUCAACAAUCCUAACGUUUCCGGAUAAGCUCUGCAGGGUCGUCGCCCUGUUCAAGCGUAUAACCUCUUGGAGAACCGUCAUGGUGAGAAUAGAGUGAAAUCGUGAUGAAUCCUAGAGCCGACUUCGGGAACCCGUGAAAAAGGGACAUGACAUCCGUACCGAGAUCUGACACAGGUGCCCCUAGCUGAAAAGGCUAAGGCGUGUCGGUUUAAUUGUAGUUUAGGGAAUUCGGCAAAAUAGCCCCGUAACUUAGGAAUAAGGGGUGCCUGCCCGGUGAUCGGGCAGGUCGCAGUGACCAGGGGACUCCAACUGUCUAAUAACAACAUAGCAGACUGCAACUCAGUAAUGACUAGUAUAGUCUGUGAUUCCUGCCCAGUGCAGGUAUCUGAACACCGGGUACAACCGGACGAAGGACCUGUAAACGGCGGGGGUAACUAUGACCCUCUUAAGGUAGCGUAGUACCUUGUCGCUUAAUUGGCGACUUGCAUGAAUGGAUUAAUGAGAGUCCCACUGUCCCAAACACAAGUCCGUUGAAGCUUUUAUCCUAGUGCAGAGGCUAGGGCCUCCAUAUGGGAAGUGAAGACCCCGUGGAGCUUUACUGCAGCCUGUUGUUGUGUUACGAUAUCCCUUGCGCAGCGUAGAUGGGAGACGUUUGAGACGUAACUUGCGGGUUACGUUUAGUCGCAAUCUGAGACACCAUCCUUGGUUUAUUGUAACACUAACUCUCUCUGAGAGGACAUCGGUAGGUAGGCAGUUUGGGUGGGGCGCCACACCCUCGAAAAGAUAUCAAGGGUGCCCCAAGGUCAACUCAUGUGAGUCAGAAACUCACAGGAGAGUGUCAAGAGCAAAAGUUGGCCUGACGCUGAUACGCAUAGCAAGUAUCUGCGAGAGGAAACUCGGGUCUAACGAACCAAUACGCGCUUUUGAUGAGUGCUAUUGACGACAGAAAAGCUACCCCGGGGAUAACAGAGUUGUCGCCGGCAAGAGCACAUAUCGACCCGGCGGCUUGCUACCCCGAUGUCGGUUCUUUCCAUCCUGGCUGUGCAGCAGCACCCAAGGGUGAGGUUGUUCGCCCAUUAAAGGGGAACGUGAGCUGGGUUUAGACCGUCGUGAGACAGGUCGGUUACUAUCUAUAUGGAGUGUUGGGAAUCUGAAGGUAAGACGGAAAUAGUACGAGAGGAACUUUCCGUCGCCGCCACUGGUAGAUCGGUUGUCUGACAAGGCAAUGCCGAGUGGCUACGCGGUAAGAAAUAAAAGCUGAAAGCAUCUAAGCUUGAAGUUUAGCCUAAAACGAGAUUCCGUCACAGGACACGGGUAAAAGACCCGCUUGAUAGGUCAGGGAUGUAAGCACGAAGGCAACGACGUGUUCAGUCCACUGAUACUAACGUCCGAUAAUUCAGUAA